rnacentral:lncRNA from 1 species
AGGCCAAAGUCUUAUUUGAGUUAUUACCAUUAUUAUUCACCACACUUGCCAUCUUAUUUCAAGCCUACAGUGGCGGAAGUGGAGUAAGACAUCAUGUUGCCUCAAGUUUAAUUGGAAAUCGCGUGCCUUGUGAAGAAUGGACACUCAGUAGAUGCUUAUUGAUGAACCUGUUGGUUGAGGAUAACUCGCUAACUUUUCUGAGCUUUGUUGGAAAAACUAGACAGGGGUCUCACUAUGUGAUGCAGGAUGAUCUCAAACUCCCUGGCCUCAAGCGAUCCUCCUGCCUUGGUCUCCUAAAGUGCUGGGAUUACAGCAGGUCACUGUAUCUCUAUGCAUUACAGAAAAUGGCUAGUUAAAAACUUGUCAAGAUUAUGAAUGAGUGCAUCCAAAAGUAAUCACUGGAAUUGCUGUUCAUUGUGGGCUUCCCAGCAUUCUCCUCUGGGCAUUUAUAUCAAAUAACUUAUGAGUGAUGCAGAAUUAGUAUUCACCGGUCAGACAUUGAUUAUUUAGAAUUCCCUCUGAUUUGAAUUACAUCUACUGUUUUUUUCUCCCAUCCAUUUAUGGGUCAAAUGUACAAUAAGCCAAAACAUGUUGAUUCUGGUGAAAUUUAGCAGAGAAAAACAGCUUCACCUAGUGGCCACAGAAACUCGAAAAGCUUUACUGAAAAGAAAUAAAUUGGAUAUCUUCUCAUCCUGGAUAUGAACUGGAUUCCAACUUAACCUUCCAACUGUUUUGCUGUUUCUCUGAAGUCUGAACCUUGUGUAUGGCAAUACUUAUCUCAAGCAAAAAUAUAGUUUCACAUUGGUAGUACUGUAUUCAGGAAAACUGGAAAUUGUACUAUGAAGGAGCACUUCUACCACAUCCGUAUCUAAGUCUACAUUCACAGCUGCUGGAAACAGAUAUUGUAUUCAUACUAUGGUGGGAAACACAUAAUGUAUGUAUGUAUACACAUGUGUGCACACAUAUAUAUGCUAGCGUAUAAUCUGGAAAAAUUUUGCUAAGAUAUAUAGGAAGAGAACCUUUUUAUUCAGAAUAUUGAACAAGUAGGACUCAUAGUGUAAAAUUAAGAAAAAUUAUUUUUCUUCUACUGCCCUUUCUAUGGAUUUGGUUCUUCCUCUUCCCCUGAAUGUAAACUUAAGCAGUCUUCUAUGCAUUUUGUGUUCAUUCCUAAAUAUUAGAAAUAGUUAUUUGAUUAUUUAGCCUUUAGUCUCAGUUUAAUAACCAAAAUAUGAGGUUAAAAUUUAAUUCUGGCUACAGAAUUAAGGCUUCUCUCUCCUGCCGCACUUCCAGGCCAGUUGCAGGCAUGAUACCAGCAGUCUGGGAGGUAGAGACAAGAGGACACAUCUCUGCUGCUCCCUUCUUUCCCCAUGGUUAUGCGCCAACUUUGGUUUCACCAGGCCUACAGUGCUUCCCAGGUUUGGAGUGUGGGGAAGGAGAAGAUUUAAUGGAAGCAGCUUAAGGGAAAUGCUCAAACUAAACUGAUACUUUCUUCAUGAUCUAGCAUUGAAACUUUCUGGACUUGACAGAUAUUUAAAAUUAACUCUUUUUCUCAUUAACAUUUUCAUGGGUUCUUCCAAGAUCCACAUUACCCAACCUGUGGGUUCCCAUGACAAGGAUUAAGGCAUCUCUGUUUCUUCUGGACCUUUAUUUACCUGGAUUCUUUCUCUAGGGACUGUUUACCCUUAUGGGCCAUCCUUUUGAGCAUAACCUAACAAGAUUCAUGCUGGCUUUAAGUGAGUGGUCCACAUUUGGUUCAUGGGAAAACCACAUAGUUUGUCCCCAGCAAACCUGGAAGUAAUAUUUAUUUUACUGCUGGAAUUAAGGAAAACCAAAAAUCCUAUUACAAAAUGGCUCCUCUAAACAUUCACAUUACCCCUUUUUGUCUCUACCCCCUGAGGAACUAACCAACUCUAGCUCUUUGGAUUUUCCAAAUGAGAGGUCAACACAUCGAUGUCUCCAAGACCUUAAGUUCUUCUAGUGGUCUCUUUAAGCUUCCUCCCUUGAAUUAUGGUGAAAAGGGACUGCCUGCUACCCCCUCCUCUUGAGGAGAGGGGUGGUAUCACAGCCUAACAAUAAUUUCCAAAAAUUUUCUCCUCCAGCUCUAAUGCUUAACCAGUUUAGACUUUCAAAGUGGAUAAUGUAAUUUAAAGCCUUACAGCUAGUUAUGCUCUACUUCUUCUAUAAGUCCUGCAACCAGGUGGUCUCAAUCCUCACUUGCGAAUACUGCAUUUACUCACCUUGUGCCCUAGCCAAAACUUCCACAACAAAUUCUGUGGUGCAUUUAAGUGAAAGAUGUUAUUUGAUUGAUAGAGAGAUAGAUAGAUAGAUACAGAUAUAGAUAUAGAUAUGUAUUAGAACCAUGUCAAAUGGUUAACUUUUUUAAAAAGGUAAAUUUUUUAUAUUGAGAUAAUUAUAGAUUCUCAUACACUCGUAAGAAAUAACACAGAAAGAUCCCAUGUAGCCUUUAUCCAGUUUCCCCAGUGAUAAUAUCUUGCAAAACUAUAGUCCAAUAUCACAACCAAGAUACUGGCAUUGAUAGAUCACUUCCAUCACCACAAACAUCCCUCAUGUUGCCCUUUUAUAGCCACACUCAUUUCCCUCCUGCUGCCACCCUCUCCUUUACCCAUAACCACUUAUCUGUUCUCUAUUUUUGUAAUUUUAUCAUUUCAAGAAUACUGUAGAAAUGGAAUAAUACAGUAUGUAUUUUAGGGCUUAUCUUUUCUACACUCGGCAUGAUUCUCUGGAGAUUCAUCCAGGUUGUUGCAUGUAUCAAUAGUUCAUUCCUUUUUUACUGCUGAACAGUAUUCCAUUGUAUGUAUGUACCAUAGUUUAACUAUUUGCUCAAUGAAAGACAUAUAUUAAUAGUUUCCAGUUUUUGCUGUUAUGAAUAAAGCU